rnacentral:rRNA from 1 species
GACGAACGCUGGCGGCGUGCUUAACACAUGCAAGUCGAACGGAAAGGCCCUGCUCUUGUGGGGCGCUCGUGUGGCGAACGCGUGAGUAACACGUGAGUAACCUGCCCUUGUCUUUCGGAUAACUCCUGGAAACUGGGGCUAAUACCGGAUAGGAGCUCCUGCUGCAUGGUGGGGGUUGGUAAGUUUCGGCGGUUGUGGAUGGACUCGCGGCUUAUCCGCUUGUUGGUGGGGUAGUGGCUUACCAAGGCUUUGACGGGUAGCCGGCCUGAGAGGGUGACCGGCGACAUUAGGACUGAGAUACGGCGCAGACUCCUACGGGAGGCAGCAGUGGGGAGUAUUGCAGAGUGGGCGGAAGCCUGAUGCAGCAACGCCGCGUGCGGGAUAACGGCCUUCGGGUGGUAAACCGCUUUCGCCUGUAACGAAGCGUGAGUGACGGUAAUGGGUAAAGAAGCACCGGCUAACUACGUG